UACAGAGGUGGCAAGCGUUGUUCGGAAUUACUGGGCGUAAAGGGCGCGUAGGCGGCCUUCUAAGUCAGACGUGAAAUCCCCCGGCUUAACCUGGGAACUGCAUCCGAUACUGGGUGACUUGAGUUCGGGAGAGGAAUGUGGAAUUCCAGGUGUAGCGGUGAAAUGCGUAGAUAUCUGGAGGAACACCGGUGGCGAAGGCGGCAUUCUGGACCGAAACUGACGCUGAGGCGCGAAAGCCAGGGGAGCAAACGGG
rnacentral:rRNA from 1 species